UGCAAAAUGCAAAUUCUUGCACYUUUUUAUCAGGAGUGUAUGUCUUCAAAUAUAUUUUGAAAAACAUCUUUAUGGCGAAGUUUUCAUGUUUCUGUGAAUUUGAAGGUACAUUUCCAGUUCGUUUCCAGUCCUGCAGGCGGCGCUAAAGAGUCAAGACGUUCCUGCAAAAAAUAGAAGAAGACGGGAAACGCAUGGAGRCCUGCUGUUUCUGGUUUUGACCUUCUUCACUAUACUUAUAGCUGUGUUUCACGUUCAGUAAAGUUGUGCAGGAUGUCGGUCAAAAAA